CAAUAGCGUAUAUUAAAGUUGUUGCAGUUAAAAAGCUCGUAGUUGGAUUUCUGAAUUGAAUAUCCGGUCCGCUCGUCUCUGAUGAGUGCGUACUUAUGGAUCUUGGAUUCAUUUUUUGUGAGGACAUUUAUCUGUCAUUAAGUUGAUGGAUUUAUAGACUUGCAUCGUUUACUGUGAAAAAAUUAGAGUGUUUAAAGCAGGCGUUCGCCCAUUUGAAUACAUUAGCAUGGAAUAAUAAGAUAUGACUUUGGUGGUCUAUUUUGUUGGUUUGCACACCAGAGUAAUGAUUAAUAGGGACAGUUGGGGGUAUUCAUAUUUCAACGUCAGAGGUGAAAUUCUUAGAUCGUUGAAAGAUGACCUUAGGCGAAAGCAUUUACCAUGGAUGUUUUCAUUAA
rnacentral:rRNA from 1 species